UCUGAACAUAACCAGGCAGGAGUUCCGUGACACGUGGCACAAGAUGUGAGGAUGGGUCACUGCUUCUUGCUGUUUGGUCACUGACAAGGCCAGCUUCCAGCACGUGGACUGCUUCUGCCAGCUCAUCCAAGGCACUGAAGGCAGGGACUCAUUCCUGACAUAAGUUCAAUUCGAUUUGAUUGGAUACACUUGGGGAAAAUAAGAAACAAGGAAAAAAAGACCUCAGUCACAAUAUCCUGUACACUGUACUUUGAAAUCAGUGCCAAGGCCCUGCCUCUCAAUAUCAGCAAAUACUUCCAUAACUUCAUUAGAGUAACUAGACAACAAAUUUCUACAGAAAAAAAAAAGCCAAAGGAAAAACAAUCAAAUGAUGGAGACAUCUUGCCAUCAAUUGC
rnacentral:lncRNA from 1 species